AAGCGUGCGCAGGCGGUUUUGUAAGACUGUCGUGAAAUCCCCGGGCUCAACCUGGGAAUGGCGAUGGUGACUGCAAGGCUAGAGUUUGGCAGAGGGGGGUAGAAUUCCACGUGUAGCAGUGAAAUGCGUAGAUAUGUGGAGGAACACCGAUGGCGAAGGCAGCCCCCUGGGUCAAAAACUGACGCUCAUGCACGAAAGCGUGGGGAGCAAACAGGAUUAGAUACCCGAGU
rnacentral:rRNA from 1 species